AAAGGAACACUCCUAAAGGGGAAGAGAGGCUUCCUCUCCCUUCCGUUUGCAGAGGGAGCCUAAGGCAGCAAGUUUGGACUAGCCGCUUCCCCACGAAAGACCCCACACCAAGCUCAUUUUGAAGGGCGCCCCUGUGUUUUCUUUCCUGUUUUCUGCUGGGACUGUCUGGACUUCUAAAUUACAUGGGGGAACAGCUGGGGAACAGAAAAGCUUCUCUCAUCUGCUCUCUGGCCUGCCUCAGACUCCGGGAGCUGAUCACACAGAGAGUGGACGAUUUGGACACAGACUGCAGCCUUUGGGACUCAUGUUCUUCCCAAGAAACCCACCGCCUGGCAGGCUAAGCAUACGUGCUCCCCCUCUGUUCUUGAAGCUGGAAACAAGCGAUAGGCAAGUGACGAAAGAGAACAGAUAACGUGCAUCUUCCCAGGCAACCUAAUCUCAUGCAGAGAAAACGCCUCAAGCUGAGAACCAAGGGAAUGAGCCACGUACAGGGAUGCUGCCCCGGCCCCUCCCCUGCAGACUUGAGAACAAGUUGUGGCAGGGCCAUGUCUCACCUUAGAUUUGCCUCUGAAGUGACUACCGUGUUGCGCUCAUGAAAUCCCCCCUAAGCGAGCGUUUCCUUGGCUAUGACAUACUGAUCCCUUUCUCUCCUGAUCGAUAGCUGUUUCUGGUAGAAAUCUGCCUUAGUCACUGUUUCUAAAUCAAUCUUCAGAGCACCUUGUAAGCUCCUGGGACCACGUCUUCCCGGUUACCUGUAAGUGACACCCAUUCAUUUCAAUAGGAGGGACAUGUAAUUACUUGAAGAGACAAUUUGGCUGAUGGGCUUAUUGACAGUGCCCGGCCCUCCAAAUGCGCAUUUACAUCCUGCAACCGCUAUUUAAGAAGAUUGCAUGCCGCAUGAAUUAGGGGUUGCGCACUGAAGCCACCUCCGUCUUUACUCAUACAUUCCUUAUCUUUUUCUCCGAGUAUUCUCCUCUCAGAUUUAUACCAGGUUAUCUUCCCCCCCUCCCCCCUGACAUCCACUUCUCCAGGAUGUCUACUCUUUGUUUUCCUAAAGGUAAGGGCCUUUCCUAAAUUCGGUGGCGAAGGGGGAAAGUUGCCGACUGUUGGUCCCUAGAGAUGUUGGGAAUUGGAGGCACUGUGAUUCCUGGCCAGUUCUGCUGGGAUUGUCGUCUCCUGACCUCUGGAUCCAUUCUGGCCUGCGCAUCUGUCCUUUAUUUUUUUUUAGCACUGUGUCAGGAAGGGAAAGAACUAUUGUCCCCUGCCAAGGUUGUAGUUUGGAACCCGCGAAUCACUGGCAUCCCUUGGCAUCCUACACAAAGAAUAGACACGUGCAUGUUGUGCAUGUUCAGAAGCUGGAAGCUACAGGUAAUGGGCUAAGUGGUUUCAAAACAAGAGCCUUUCAAAGAACUUUCCAGAAGGGCUCUUAUCUAUUUCCUACCUCCAUUCCUCCCGCCCUUGCUUUUCCUUCCUUCUGUCUACUGCUUUCGGAUGUGUUGUGGAAAAAAGAUAAAAUAGAGACAUUCAGAAACUGAAAUUCUAGACACAGCCUGCCCUUGACUUUGGUACUAGAGAUAAGCCACCGCGUGGCUCUUGGACCUGGUUACUCCUUUUGUUGACAAAGUAAUUGUUGAAAGAAAACCUACCAGAAGCCUGAUCACGCUUGGGACUGGGAGGUGAAGAGAACGUGCGGUCUCUGCUCUCAUGAGCUGACAUUACCAUAGGGAAAUGAGUGGUGACCACAAAGAGAGAGCCCAGUCUCACCGUAUGAAGUUGGGAGCGUCUGUCUAGGUGUCUACACAUUUUGUGCUAUGAAAUUGGCACAGGAUUAUCCCUCCCAGACACUAAAGCGUCCUUUAAAAUGCAGCCCAGGCAAACAACGACUUUCUAAGCGAACAAAGGUACGGACCAGCACUCCCUGAUCUUCAGGCUUACUGUGAAAGCUUUAAUCACUUGACAAUGUGGUAGUCAUAAAGAUAGGCGUAUAGAUCUACGUGACAGAGUUUAGAGUUCAGAAAGAGACUCCCAUCUCUGUGGCCAAUUGAGUCACGAUAAACUGUGGUGAUCAAAAGUACAGACUUUGAUAUGUAACUAGAUAUCUAUAUUAAGGAAGGUGCCUCGACCUUUUCCUCACGAUGGAUUGAAAAUUCAAUUCAAAACAGAUCCUAGAGCUAAAUCUGAAAGCUAGUAUCAUAAAGAUUCUAGAAUAAUA